rnacentral:lncRNA from 10 species
UUAACGCUUGAUCCGGGAGAGGGAGAAAGGGAAGUAGGAGUAAAAAGAGCGAGCUGGAGCGUGAAAGAAGGAAUGUCUGCGUGAGGGGGGACGUAAGGGACAACGUCUUGCUAUGUUGCCUGGACUGAACUCGAACUACCCAGCUCAAGCAAUCCUCCCAAGUAGCUGGAACUACAGGGUCGCACUGUGUUUUAUCUAAGUUUUAAGAAUAUAUAUUUCACCCCACACCCUCUUGCCAUGAGACUCAAUAAAAAUAUAUAUACAGGCA